ensembl:lncRNA LINC01847 long intergenic non-protein coding RNA 1847
ACUGAUUUAUUUGUACAUAAUUUAUUAUCAUUAUUAACCAUGUACCAAGCCAAGUACUUUACUUGUUUUGCCUUUUUGUUUUGUCUUUACCUUAUUUAUUCUUUGCAAUGACCCUAUGUGGUAGGUGUUUACAAUAUCACCAUUUUACAUAUGAGGAAACUGAGGCUGGGAAGUUAGUCAUCUUCCUAAAAUUACAUGGUAAGUUGGUGCCAGAGCUGGGCUCACAAAUUCUUAUAGAACAGAGGCCAUGAUUCUUCUCUCUCAGUCCCUAGAAUUUUACUUUGUUUGCAAUGGGUGUUUAAUAGUUUUUUUUUCUGUUGCUUAUAGACACAGAUCCAGAACACGUGAGACCACACUUGUGGUGAAGAAAGCCUGCGGUUCCAGAGAAUCAAAGCCAGGUAGAUAAGCUGGCAAUUGGAUCAAGCAGAGGGAAUGCCGGGUGCUCCAAAGAGACCGAAGAAGGGAUAUGUUUCCCCUUGCAUCCAUAGAACUAGGAGGUGAACUUUGGCUGCCUCACCUGAUGUCCAGAUAAUGUCAAGACCAGAGGGAAGGCAGUUGGCCUGGGGUUUUCAGUGUUCACAGCAAGAAACCUAGACCCAGGGGGGUGAAUACCAUGUGUGUGAUCCAAACAUUGCCACAGGAAGCCCAAGAUGUCCAGCUCCUGGAGGAUUUUUGUUCCCAGCCACCACCCCCUCAAGAUGUGUUUACCCAGCAAAUCUUCCCAGGGACAAGGGGACUCAAUUCCACACAUGUGUGUCCAAGAUGACAGUCCCUCUGGCAGCUGUGAAAAGCAGCUUCUGUGAGAGUGACAACGGAUGGUGCUGACAACCCCCUCAGCUACUAAGUUUGCUUCUGGAGCAAUGGGAUGCAAGUGACAUCGGACUUAAUGGCUUGUGUUCCUGGAGACAGUUGAGGUGUCAUGAUUUUGCAAUAAUGCUUCUUCCUUUCCUCCAGUCUUGGGGAAGAACGUCCCAGUCCUCAGCCAGGGCUUCCCAGGUGCUUCCAGGGGAGGUUCUUACUCAGUCUGAGCCAAAGCCCAGGGGUGGUGCCCACCCUCACUGGCCAACUCUCCCAGGCUACCUUUGAUUUUCAGCACUAACUCGUGGUUUUCAGCUUUGGAGAAUAGACUGAGACAGCAUGCUAAUAUCCACUGGGGUUCACACUGGUGAACCAGAGACAGAGCACUCAAUAGUCCUGUUUGUAAAAUGAAGCCAAUGAAUUAGACCAGGACUUUCCACCCUGUGCUCUGAGGCACCCUGGAUGUUCCUCACCUGUGUCUGUAGAUAGUGGAAGGAGGAGACAGGGCUUUGGUCCUUAGAUCAGGCAACUUUCUUUAAUCUCUUCUACAUUUUGAACUUUGUUCAUAAUAUUUCCUUUGAAGAAAGUUUCCCCCUUUAAAAAAAUAAUUUUAAAAAGUUUUGUAAAACAAA